CAGUCGCCGCGGUAAUACGAAGGGGGCUAGCGUUGCUCGGAAUGACUGGGCGUAAAGGGCGCGUAGGCGGCGAUCAAAGUCAGGCGUGAAAUUCCUGGGCUCAACCUGGGGGCUGCGUUUGAUACUUGAUUGCUAGAGUGGGGAAGAGGGUCGUGGAAUUCCCAGUGUAGAGGUGAAAUUCGGAGAUAUUGGGAAGAACACCGGUGGCGAAGGCGGCAACCUGGUCCUUGACUGACGCUGAGGCGCGAAAGCGUGGGGAGCAAACAGGAUUAGAUACCCCCGUAGUCCCUGUCUCUUAUAC
rnacentral:rRNA from 1 species